GAUGAACGCUAGCGGCAGUCUUAAUACAUGCAAGUCGAGGAGCAGCAUGACUGUAGCAAUACAGUUGAUGGCGACCGGCAAACGGGUGCGGAACACGUACAGAACCUUCCUUCGAGCGGGGAAUAGCCCAGAGAAAUUUGGAUUAAUACCCCAUAGUACAACGGAGUGGCAUCCCUUUGUUGUUAAAGAUUUAUCACUUGAAGAUGGCUGUGCGGCUGAUUAGGUAGUUGGCGGGGUAACGGCCCACCAAGCCUGCGAUCAGUAACUGGUGGGAGAGCACGAACAGUCACACGGGAACUGAGACACGGGCCCGACUCCCACGGGAGGCAGCAGUAAGGAAUAUUGGUCAAUGGACGAAAGUCUGAACCAGCCAUGCCGCGUGGAGGAUGAAGGUCCUCUGGAUUGUAAACUUCUUUUAUAUGGGACGAAAAAAGGGUUUUCUAACUCGUCUGACGGUACCAUAUGAAUAAGCACCGGCUAACUCCGUGCCAGCCGCCGCAGUAAGAC
rnacentral:rRNA from 1 species